rnacentral:rRNA from 1 species
CCUACGGGCGGCAGCAGUGAGGAAUAUUGGUCAAUGGGCGAGAGCCUGAACCAGCCAAGUAGCGUGAAGGAUGACUGCCCUACGGGUUGUAAACUUCUUUUAUAAAGGAAUAAAGUGAGGCACGUGUGCCUUUUUGUAUGUACUUUAUGAAUAAGGAUCGGCUAACUCCGUGCCAGCAGCCGCGGUAAUACGGAGGAUCCGAGCGUUAUCCGGAUUUAUUGGUUUUAAAGGGAGCGUAGAUGGGUUGUUAAGGCAGGUGUGAAAGUUUGCGGCUCAACCGUAAAAUUGCAAUUGAAACUGGCAGUCUUGAGUAUAGUUGAGGUAGGCGGAAUUCGUGGUGUAGCGGUGAAAUGCUUAGAUAUCACGAAGAACUCCGAUUGCGAAGGCAGCUUACUAAACUGUCACUGACAUUGAUGCUCGAAAGCGUGGGGAUCAAACAGGAUUAGAUACCCGUGUAGUC